CCUGUGGCCACGUCUGUUCGAGGGUCG
rnacentral:rRNA from 1 species